rnacentral:lncRNA from 1 species
AUGCUCCUUCCUUUGAUAAAGGCCAAUCUUUUUUUUUUUAUUAUUAUUAUUAUUCAUGAUAGAGAGAUAGAGAGGCAGAGACACAGGCAGAGGGAGAAGCAGGCUCCAUGCAAGGAGCCCGACGUGGGACUCCAUCCCAGGACUCCAGGCUCACUCCCUGGGCCAAAGGCAGGCACUAAACUGCUGAGCCACCCAGGGAUUCCCAAGGCCAAUCUUUUCACAUCUGUAUUUGAUCUCUUUCUCGUCAACAGGGACUUUAUUCCAUCAAUAUCUCUUUUAUUUCAUUUAUUUAUUUUCUGCUCAUUUAAUUUUGGGCUUUCCUUUACUCAUGCAUGUCUAUAUCCCUUGCCUUACUCUUCUACUGCAAAAUCCUUCACUCCAAAAGUACUCUUGUUUAUAAUUAUGGAAUUAUUUUCCCAUACACGUUUAUACGUACCUGAUCUGGCAUUCUCAAUGUUAGUUUUGUCUUUUGUCUGCUCCCACUUCUACUGGACACUUAAAGGCCUUCAUCCAGUUAGGAGCCCUUUGUUAUUUCAGGCCAGAGUAGAAGAAGAGCAUGGUUUCUCUCAAAUGUUAAUAAAAAAGGCAUUGAUCUUCUCAGCACAUUGCCCAAGAGCAGCUGAUCAUUAG